AGGAUUUAUUGUACACGAGUUACAUUUGGCCACAAGAGAGAAUAGAACUAGUCCAGAAUGCCAAAGGUCCAGGGCAGAGGGCCAGCGGGACUGUUUUGGUUAUAAGAAAGGCAGUCAUUUUCCCAGGUGAUCUGGGCAAGGUGACAUUCCGGGUCUACUGAGACUUAUUACCGACAGCAGCAUACAGUCCAACAACUUGUUCCAGUGUCCCGGCCUUCAGCAUCCCUUACUUCUGCUCCUGCAGGCUUCGCGGGUGCACAAGCUGCUUUACUUGGAUCUCUGCCUCAUCUUUCUUUUGCUGGCUUCAGCCUAUGCAUUCUCUUCUUCCGCCACUUCGCUCUCAUGGCGCAGGAUGUUCAAGGAAGAUGGCGCUAAGACCGAGAGCAACAUUUCUAUUCUUAAGCAUAAUCCUUUGACAUUUUAAAAUUUAAUCUGUCUGGUUUGAACAGCUUUAUUAGUACGGACAAGUUGUAAAAGAAAAAUAAGCUUUGUCCUCACCAAGAGCACUUCAUCGCAUCUACCUGUGGAGGUCUCUCCUGCAAGCUCUGAUCAGCUUGAAUGCUGGUCUAUCCUGAUCAUCUCGUGGUGAUCCCAUUCCCCACCUGUUACAGUGGUGGACUUGGAGAAGGAAAUCCCAUGCAUGGAUUUCUGCGAUGCAAAUUUACCACCAGCAUCCAGACAAACUGGUUCCAGGCUGUCCAUAUCUACCAUUGUGGACUCCAUGUGUUGUUUAGGCCAAAAGGCCGAAGAAACUCUGGGACUCAUAGGAGCAAAUAGGCUUCAUGAUGUCCUGACAAAAAAUAAUAUGUUCAACAGGAAAAAAAUUGUUGGGAACAUCCUUGGAGAAAUAAGGCAUGUUCCAAAGAUUUGUUCUGCCAAGAGUCCUGCAGGUCCUGACAACCUCGCUUCCGCCCUUUGGAGGAGAGAGAGUGAUCCUGCCUUGUCCAUGUCCG
ensembl:lncRNA